GCAGAGGGAAAAGGAGUGAUCCGCUUUGAGAUGGCCUCGCGUCCGAUUAGCUAGUUGGUGAGGUAACGGCCCACCAAGGCGACGAUCGGUAGCCGGACUGAGAGGUUGAACGGCCACAUUGGGACUGAGACACGGCCCAGACUCCUACGGGAGGCAGCAGUGGGGAAUAUUGCACAAUGGGGGAAACCCUGAUGCAGCGACGCCGCGUGGAGGAAGAAGGUCUUCGGAUUGUAAACUCCUGUUGUUGAGGAAGAUAA
rnacentral:rRNA from 1 species